rnacentral:rRNA from 1 species
GAUGAACGCUAGCGGCAGGCUUAAUACAUGCAAGUCGAACGGUAACAGGGAUCUUCGGAUUCGCUGACGAGUGGCGCACGGGUGCGUAACGCGUAUGCAACUUACCCACAACAGGGGGAUAGCCCGAGGAAACUCGGAUUAAUACCCCAUAAAGCAGGGGGCUCGCCUGAGUCUAUUUGCUAAAGAUUUAUCGGUUGUGGAUGGGCAUGCGUCCCAUUAGCUAGUAGGUAAGGUAACGGCUUACCUAGGCAACGAUGGGUAGGGGUUCUGAGAGGAAGGUCCCCCACACUGGCACUGAGACACGGGCCAG